rnacentral:rRNA from 1 species
CAGUCGCCACGGUAAUACGGAGGGUGCAAGCGUUAUCCGGAUUUAUUGGGUUUAAAGGGUCCGUAGGCGGAUCUGUAAGUCAGUGGUAAAAUCUCACAGCUUAACUGUGAAACUGCCAUUGAUACUGCAGGUCUUGAGUAAAUUUGAAGUGGCUGGAAUAAGUAGUGUAGCGGUGAAAUGCAUAGAUAUUACUUAGAACACCAAUUGCGAAGGCAGGUCACUAAGAUUUAACUGACGCUGAUGGACGAAAGCGUGGGGAGCGAACAGGAUUAGAUACCCGCGUAGUCCCUGUCUCUUAUAC